rnacentral:sRNA from 1 species
UCGCAGGUCGGCAGCGUGAGGUCCUCUGUGCCACCUUCCAUCAGUAGGAACCCAGCCAUGGUGAACGAAGCCAGAGGAAACAGCAGCCUCAACCCCUGCUUGGAGGGCAGUGCCAGCAGUGGCAGUGAGAGCUCCAAAGAUAGUUCGAGAUGUUCCACCCCGGGCCUGGACCCCGAGCGGCAUGAGAGACUCCGGGAGAAGAUGAGGCGGCGAUUGGAAUCUGGUGACAAGUGGUUCUCCCUGGAAUUCUUCCCUCCUCGAACUGCUGAGGGAGCUGUCAAUCUCAUCUCAAGGUUUGACCGGAUGGCAGCAGGCGGCCCCCUCUACAUAGACGUGACCUGGCACCCAGCAGGUGACCCUGGCUCAGACAAGGAGACCUCCUCCAUGAUGAUCGCCAGCACCGCCGUGAACUACUGUGGCCUGGAGACCAUCCUGCACAUGACCUGCUGCCGUCAGCGCCUGGAGGAGAUCACGGGCCACCUGCACAAAGCUAAGCAGCUGGGCCUGAAGAACAUCAUGGCGCUGCGGGGAGACCCAAUAGGUGACCAGUGGGAAGAGGAGGAGGGAGGCUUCAACUACGCAGUGGACCUGGUGAAGCACAUCCGAAGUGAGUUUGGUGACUACUUUGACAUCUGUGUGGCAGGGCUACCACUCCCUUCGGCAGCUUGUGAAGCUGUCCAAGCUGGAGGUGCCACAGGAGAUCAAGGACGUGAUUGAGCCAAUCAAAGACAACGAUGCUGCCAUCCGCAACUAUGGCAUCGAGCUGGCCGUGAGCCUGUGCCAGGAGCUUCUGGCCAGUGGCUUGGUGCCAGGCCUCCACUUCUACACCCUCAACCGCGAGAUGGCUACCACAGAGGUGCUGAAGCGCCUGGGGAUGUGGACUGAGGACCC